AUUGAACGCUGGCGGCAUGCCUUACACAUGCAAGUCGAACGGCAGCACGGGAGCAAUCCUGGUGGCGAGUGGCGAACGGGUGAGUAAUAUAUCGGAACGUGCCCAGUCGUGGGGGAUAACGCAGCGAAAGCUGUGCUAAUACCGCAUACGAUCUAUGGAUGAAAGCGGGGGAUCGCAAGACCUCGCGCGAUGGGAGCGGCCGAUAGCAGAUUAGGUAGUUGGUGGGGUAAAGGCUCACCAAGCCGACGAUCUGUAGCUGGUCUGAGAGGACGACCAGCCACACUGGAACUGAGACACGGUCCAGACUCCUACGGGAGGCAGCAGUGGGGAAGUUUGGACAAUGGGCGCAAGCCUGACCCAGCAAUGCCGCGUGCAGGAUGAAGGCCUUCGGGUUGUAAACUGCUUUUGUACGGAGCGAAAAGGCUCUCUCUAAUACAGGGGGCUCAUGACGGUACCGUAAGAAUAAGCACCGGCUAACUACGUGCCAGCCGCCGCGGUAAUAC
rnacentral:rRNA from 1 species